UCCCAGUGAUGAAGAAUUCCCAUAGAUAGGAAGUGUCGUAUGACACUUUAAUCAGCGGCGGCAAC
rfam:Gossypium hirsutum cultivar TM-1 unplaced genomic scaffold scaffold2142.1, whole genome shotgun sequence